UAUAAACAAGAAUGUUUGUCUCCCCAAAUCGGUGGCAAUUAUAAACAGGAAAUUCCGAUGAUUCUUGACUAAAUACCAUUCGGAGAGCCAAUUUGAUUUGUUGACUUGUGCUGAUUCGCAUGCACAUACAAGAACCGAGUAUUUUUGUACACAUGAGCAAUAUCAUUCGGUUGGCUAUCUAUGACAAUGCACGCGUGCUCUCUCUUUCCCUCUGUCUUUCGCUACCUGCUAAUGUCAAAUGGAAUCGUGCAAGUUUGGCAAAGCGAUAAUAAUAUUUAUUUGCGAUGAUGUGUCACACAAACGAAAUGUCACUAUCCUGUCGAUCGGAAGGGAUUUUUGAAAUUUUCUACAACACAACCCGUUUCAAUCAAAUUUCAAGAUCAUUCAUGUUAAAUAAUCGAUUCAAUGGCCAUUAAAUUCGCAAAAGUCGAACGCAAUUACACCGCUAUAUAUUUUCAUAAAUGAAUCCAAAAAAAAAAGAGAUAAGGAAUUCGUAAGGUCGGUGCAGAAUAUCCGCCAUAGAAUCGAUGAAUUCGCAAAAAGGAUUAAAUUAUUUAACAUUUUUCAUCGCAGGGACUUCGAUAAGACAGACAACGAGUAAUUCUAACUGUAAUUCUUAUCGAUACUAUUUUUGAUUGAUCGCUAGUGGAACACAGGAAACCCCCCUCGCUAAUUUUUUUUUUUAGUAAAAGUGAUUGACGAUUCAAAAAUCGAGUUUCGAAGAAUGAAUUUGCUAGAAAAUAAAAUACCGCGAAAUAUAUUCUGAUAUCAA